rnacentral:rRNA from 1 species
AGCGAACGCUGGCGGCAGGCCUAACACAUGCAAGUCGAACGAGGUCUUCGGACCUAGUGGCGGACGGGUGAGUAACACGUGGGAACGUGCCCUUUGGUACGGAAUAACUCAGGGAAACUUGAGCUAAUACCGUAUGUGCCCUUCGGGGGAAAGAUUUAUCGCCAUUGGAGCGGCCCGCGUCUGAUUAGCUAGUUGGUGAGGUAACGGCUCACCAAGGCGACGAUCAGUAGCUGGUCUGAGAGGAUGACCAGCCACAUUGGGACUGAGACACGGCCCAAACUCCUACGGGAGGCAGCAGUGGGGAAUCUUGCGCAAUGGGCGAAAGCCUGACGCAGCCAUGCCGCGUGGAUGAUGAAGGUCUUAGGAUUGUAAAAUCCUUUCACCGGUGAAGAUAAUGACUGUAGCCGGAGAAGAAGCCCCGGCUAACUUCGUGCCAGCAGCCGCAGUAAAAC